rnacentral:rRNA from 1 species
GACGAACGCUGGCGGCGUGCUUAACACAUGCAAGUCGAACGGAAAGGCCCUGCUUUUGUGGGGUGCUCGAGUGGCGAACGGGUGAGUAACACGUGAGUAACCUGCCCUUGACUUUGGGAUAACUUCAGGAAACUGGGGCUAAUACCGGAUAGGAGCUCCUGCUGCAUGGUGGGGGUUGGAAAGUUUCGGCGGUUGGGGAUGGACUCGCGGCUUAUCAGCUUGUUGGUGGGGUAGUGGCUUACCAAGGCUUUGACGGGUAGCCGGCCUGAGAGGGUGACCGGCCACAUUGGGACUGGGGUACGGCCCAGACUCCUACCGGAGGCAGCAGGGGGGAAUAUUGCACAAUGGGGGGAAGCCUGAGGCAGAAACGCCGGGUGCGGGAAGACGGCCUUCGGGUUGUAAACCGCUUUCGCCUGUGACGAAGCGUUCGUGACGGUAAUGGGUAAAGAAGCACCGGCUAACUACGUG